rnacentral:rRNA from 1 species
UACGAAGGGUGCAAACGUUGCUCGGAAUUACUGGGCGUAAAGGGCGCGUAGGCGGCCUUCUAAGUCGAACGUGAAAUCCCCGGGCUCAACCCGGGAACUGCGUCCGAUACUGGAAGGCUUGAAUCCGGGAGAGGGAUGCGGAAUUCCAGGUGUAGCGGUGAAAUGCGUAGAUAUCUGGAGGAACACCGGUGGCGAAGGCGGCAUCCUGGACCGGCAUUGACGCUGAGGCGCGAAAGCCAGGGGAGCAAACGGG